UUACAAACGACUCUCGGCAACGGAUAUCUCGGCUCACGCAUCGAUGAAGAACGUAGCAAAAUGCGAUACUUGGUGUGAAUUGCAGAAUCCCGUGAACCAUCGAGUUUUUGAACGCAAGUUGCGCCCGAAGCCUUUUGGCCGAGGGCACGUCUGCCUGGGCGUCACGC
rnacentral:rRNA from 3 species